rnacentral:rRNA from 1 species
GACGAACGCUGGCGGCGUGCUUAACACAUGCAAGUCGAACGGAAAGGCCCUGCGUUUGUUGGGUUCUCGAUUGGCGAACGGGUGAGUAACACAUGUGUAACCUGCCCUUGACUUUGUGAUAACUUCAGGAAACUGGGGCGAAUACCGGGUAGGAGCUCUUGCUGCAUGGUGGGGGUUGGUAAGUGUCGGCGGUGGGGUAUGUUCUCGCGGCUUAUCAGCUUGUUUGUGGGGUAGUGGCUUACAACGGCUUUGACGGUUAGCCGGCCUGAGAGGGUGACCGGGCACCUUGCGCCUGCGAGACGGCCCAGAAUCCAAUGGGCGGCAGUAGUGGGGAAUAUUGCACAACGGGCGCGAGCGUGAUGCAGCAACGCUGCGUGCGGGAAGCCGGCCUUCGGGUUGUGAACAGAUUUCGAAUGUGCUGAAGAGUGAGUGACGGUACUGGGUAAAGAAGCCACGGCUAACUACGUG